GAUGAACGCUGGCGGCGUGCUUAACACAUGCAAGUCGAACGGUGAACACGGAGCUUGCUCUGUGGGAUCAGUGGCGAACGGGUGAGUAACACGUGAGCAACCUGCCCCUGACUCUGGGAUAAGCGCUGGAAACGGCGUCUAAUACUGGAUACGAGUAGCGGCCGCAUGGUCAGUUACUGGAAAGAUUUUUUGGUUGGGGAUGGGCCCGCGGCCUAUCAGCUUGUUGGGGGGGUAAUGGCUCACCAAGGCGUCGACGGGUAGACGGCCUGAGAGGGUGACGGGCCACACUGGGACUGAGACACGGCACAGACUCCUACGGGAGGCAGCAGUGGGGAAUAUUGCACAAUGGGCGAAAGCCUGAUGCAGCAACGCCGCGUGAGGGAUGACGGCCUUCGGGCUGUAAACCUCUUUUAGCAGGGAAGAAGCGAAAGUGACGGUACCUGCAGAAAAAGCGCCGGCUAACUACGUGCCAGCAGCCGCCGUAA
rnacentral:rRNA from 1 species